GUGGUUCCGCAUGGAAGGGCCAUCGCUCAACGGAUAAAAGCUACCCCGGGGAUAACAGGCUUAUCUCCCCCAAGAGUUCACAUCGACGGGGAGGUUUGGCACCUCGAUGUCGGCUCAUCGCAUCCUGGGGCUGUAGUCGGUCCCAAGGGUUGGGCUGUUCGCCCAUUAAAGCGGUACGCGAGCUGGGUUCAGAACGUCGUGAGACAGUUCGGUCCCUAUCCGUCGUGGGCGUAGGAAAUUUGAGAGGAGCUGUCCUUAGUACGAGAGGACCGGGAUGGACAUACCUCUGGUGUACCAGUUGUCGUGCCAACGGCAUAGCUGGGUAGCUAUGUAUGGACGGGAUAAGUGCUGAAAGCAUCUAAGCAUGAAGCCCCCCUCAAGAUGAGAUUUCCCAACUUCGGUUAUAAGAUCCCUCAAAGAUGAUGAGGUUAAUAGGUUCGAGGUGGAAGCGUAGCGAUACGUGGAGCUGACGAAUACUAAUCGAUCGAAGACUUAAUCAAU
rnacentral:rRNA from 1 species